GACAGAGGGUGCAAGCGUUAUCCGGAAUCAUUGGGCGUAAAGGGUCCUGAGGUGGUUUUCUAAGUCUACUGUGAAAGAUCAGGGCUCAACCCUGAAGAUGCGGUGGAAACUGGCAGGCUAGAAUACGGUAGGGGCAGGGGGAAUUCCCGGUGUAGCGGUGAAAUGCAUAGAUAUCGGGAAGAACACCAAAGGCGAAGGCACCCUGCUGGGCCGAUAUUGACACUGACAGACGAAAGCUAGGGGAGCGAAUGGG
rnacentral:rRNA from 1 species